rnacentral:rRNA from 1 species
GAUGAACGCGGCGGCGUGCCUAACACAUGCAAGUCGAACGAGAUGCGUAUCGGAAAGCUUCGGCCGGAAGAUACGUUAUCUAGUGGCGGACGGGUGAGUAACACGUGGGUAACCUGCCUUAUGGAGGGGGAUAACAGAGAGAAAUCACUGCUAAUACCGCAUAAGCACACAGUACCGCAUGGUACAGGGUGAAAAGAUUUAUCGCCAUAAGAUGGACCCGCGUCUGAUUAGCCAGUUGGCAGGGUAAAAGCCUACCAAAGCAACGAUCAGUAGCCGAUCUGAGAGGAUGACCGGCCACAUUGGGACUGAGACACGGCCCAAACUCCUACGGGAGGCAGCAGUGGGGAAUAUUGCACAAUGGGGGAAACCCUGAUGCAGCGACGCCGCGUGAGUGAAGAA